UACAGAGGUCUCAAGCGUUGUUCGGAUUCAUUGGGCGUAAAGGGUGCGUAGGCGGCGCGGUAAGUCGGGUGUGAAAUCUCGGAGCUUAACUCCGAAACUGCAUUCGAUACUGCCGUGCUUGAGGACUGGAGAGGAGACUGGAAUUUACGGUGUAGCGGUGAAAUGCGUAGAUAUUGGGAAGAACACCUGAGGCGAAGGCGGGAUGCUGGGCCGACACUGACGCUGAGGAGCGAAAGCUAGGGGAGCAAACGGG
rnacentral:rRNA from 1 species